CGUCGCUCCGGACAAUACGCCAAUUACUGACCGUUGACCACCGUGCGAACAAGAAAGGGUUGGGCAACCUAGUCCAAGACCUAGUGAUUUUUUUCUACCAAUUUUCCCAUCACUCAACAUGGACAAAAUUCUCCACUAAUCCCGUUUGGUGCUGCUAAAGGUCAGCGUGAUGGACACAAAUGUCAAAUACUAUUCAUAUAUGUCCCAUUAAAUUAACAGCCUUAUCUUGACAUUUCUUCAAGAUUGCAUUCCUCAGAUAAUUUUCUUGCAUUACUUGUUAACGAUGUGUUGCCAAAAUUUGCAGCGUCUUGUAUUUCGUUUAAAUUUUUAGGAAAAAAUAAAUCAUUCCUCAACCA